rnacentral:lncRNA from 1 species
AGGUCGGGCAGUCAAAGGUAUAGAGGCAGAAGUUUUAUUCAUUUGAAGGACAUGGGACAGAGACAUGACAGCAAAGAAAUACAAACUAAAGUAAGUGCAUUUUAAAAGCUUAAAUUUGUAGUAAUUAGGCUUCGAACUGAAACUGGUAGUUAGGGGAAUAAACCGGAAGAUUUUUAGAUGAAUGUUGAUUGCAGUAGACGUGUUUCCAACAUUAGAGACUUAAAAUUUAGUGUGUAAAAUUUGAUUAGAGAUGAAGCUGGCAUCUGACUUAUCUGGCAUUUCAUGUUAUGUUUUGAAAUAUAAAAUUUUUGCACAAUUCAAACAUGUUUGUUUCUAACAGUCAUUGUUUGGUAUUGAGGGUUUCCAGCCUCAUCAUAAAAUAAAAAUAUUAGGAUCCUCUAUGUUUCGAACUUUUCCAAAAGUUCCAAUAAUAAUAUAAGCAAAACUUAUUAAUAUAAAACAGUAACUAAACAAAGCACAAUAGUAUGGAAAUAAUUAAACGAAAACAGUAGUUCCAAACUUUAAAAGAUAAAACAAACAAAGAAAACUAAAGAUUAUCGAAAAUCUCUUCCACGUUUUUGGUUUGACGUUGAGGUUUACCUUCACUGUCAACAAUCAAUAUCUUCAAUCCUUUCUUUGAAGUCACUCUGGAAACAGCAACAUAUAGUUGUCCGUGAGAAAAAACUGGUCUUGGUAGAUAAAUUCCAACUUCAGACAAUGUUUGACCCUGGCUUUUAUUGAUAGUAAUGGUGAAUGCUACUCUAAUAGGCAAUUGUCUCCUCCUCAUUUUGAAUGGCAACUUUUUAUCUGAAGGAGUUAUAGAGAGUCUAGGAAUUAGCACAGUUCGGCCAAUUUUUUCCUUUUCCCCUGUAAUGACCUUCGCCUUUAUCAUGAAGUCAUACAUUUCUGUAAUCUGGAGUCUAGUACCAUUCAUCAAUCCACCAACAGGAUCUAUAUUUCUUAGCAACAUCACUGGACAACCCACUUUCAGACGCAGACUGUGAUUUGGCAAUCCUGAUGCUUUGAUUCUGUUUAAAAAAUCUGGAGUAAGAGCUUGGUCAUUAACAGAAAACCUAUCUGAAGCAUCAAUAGAAUCAGAGCUUAGAAAAAAAUUUCCUCUCUUGCAUGAAAGACCUUGAUCGUUAACAAAUAUAUAACACUGAAAAAAAAUAUUACAUGUAAAAAAAAAAAAUUGUAACUAACCAUGAAGCUUAUCCAGCAUAUGUUGAUUAAUCAUGUUGACAUCAUCAUUAGUAGGACAUAGAAUAGCUCUCUCCUGAAAAAACUUUGCCUCGUUAUUCUGGUGUAAAGAAGUAGCAUCUCCAUAGACUGCUGAACUUAUAGCUUCUAUUGGAUCUUUAGCAUCAAGAAUCAGAAACUCCUCUGGGAUGUCGAUAAGAGAUUCCCCAUCAUUUCCAUCACCAAUCUUUCCAUCUCCAAUAUCUAAUAUCCAUUGUGAAAACUCCUGCAAGUCUUUUGACUCCUCAGUCGACAAAUUAUUGGACAGCAGACUCAUAUUCUUGGUUAGUUGCAAAAAUUUCGUUAGUUGCAAAACUUUUACAUGCUUCCAUAGAUAAGAUGAAUUAAGAGCAGCCAUAACGAUCUCUGCCCUUCCAGCUCCAUGAAUGACAGGCAACACUUGUCUAAAAUCUCCACCGAAAACAACUACUUUGCCACCAAAAGGUCUUUUAUCCUUGUCUCCAACAAUGUCCAACAUACUACUAUCCAAUGAUUCAAAACAAUGCUUGCUCGUCAUUGGAGCUUCAUCCCAGAUUAUGAGGGAGGCUGCUUUCACCAGAUCUGCUUUAUCAGUUCCUUGUGUAAGUUUGCAAGUGGAAAAUUCAUCUGGAUUGAUAGGAAUACCAAAUCGAGAAUGUGCAGCCCUUCCUCUCGGCAGCAACAGAGAAGCUAUCCCACUCGAGGCAACAUUUAGACAUAUUUCGCUUCUAACACGUACUGCAGCAGAAAGUAAUCUCCAUAAGAAAGUUUUGCAUGUACCACCAAAUCCAUAAACAAAAAACACCCCUCCUUUUUUUGUGAAAACAGCAUCAGUAAUCUCAUCGUAUAUCUUCUUUUGCUCAUCUGUUAGUUUUGGAAUGUCACGCUGAAGAUCAGAUUCUAACUCCUCCCGGUCGUAACUGAGCUCUUCCAUAAUCAAAACAUUAUUAUUAACAAUGUCUGGAAUUGGUUUAGACAUUGAUUUCCACUUCUCCAAAGAAGUUCCAUUACUCUUCAGAAGCUUCUCAAUCUCUAUAAGCGCAUACUGCUUUUUUUCUGCAUCACUCAAGCUAAGAUCUAGUUCCAAAAAAAUAUACAGUUACUAACAAUUCAGACUAUAUUGCCGAGAAAUCUUGCUGUCACAAAUUUAUUUUAAACAAAAAUUCGAGUCAAAAAUUGUACCUGGUCUAUGUAAUAGCUUUCUUCUCUUAUGCUCAAUGUAUUCAGCAAGAAACUCCCAAGUCUCUUCCCAAACGACUUCUGGCUUUGACAAAGAUUUAGACAUGAGCAUGAUAACAAAAGCUUGACGCAAAUAACUUGCAGAGCCAGUGAAACUUGCUCUUUUGAGGUCGUCUAUAUAUUCUUGAUCAUCUUCUAACAGUCCCAUUGCAAAACAUGUCUCCUUGUACGAAGGAUACUCCACCCCUCGAAACGUCUUAAUAUCUUCAUAACAUGUUGGACCUCUCACAAUGUUAAGCAACACACGGCAAUAGAAUGCGUCUUCAAUCUCACGUGGUGCAUAAUUGAUUCUCCCAAUGCUGAAUCCUUUCUUCCUAUCAUGAAAUUUUUUGUCUUUCUUAUUCCAAGUAAACCUUGUUGGAAUUUCAGCUAGAGUGAGUGUCCGAGCUACCGCACUGACCUUGUUCAAUUCAAACCAACCCAAAAACAUAGUAUUUUCAAUAAGCUUCCGGCUGGUUACUUUUUCAUAUGUAUCAUCAUCUUUGAAAAUAAUGAUCUGUUUUCCUUCAAGAUGCCACUGCAAUCUCUCAACUGGUGUUAAUCUGUAGUGAAUAUGAAACAUAAAAGUUCUCCAAGCACCUUCGCAGGCUGAGACAUAUCUGAAAAAUGGAUAAUAGCAAGACAAUCAGGAUAAUACAAACUAAACAGCCACUGACUUGGAAAGCUCAAUAUAAAAUUUAGACAUCUGCUAAAAAAUACCUGCAGUUGAAGAAGUCCUUGAUUUCAUUUUUUUUCUUCUCCCUCAACUUACCAUUCGUUGAAAUGUUCUGAUCGGCAGAUCCUUUUUCUGGAGGCUCAACAGCAAUGGUGACACGAUCCUGCCCUUUGUUAAUAUACUUGAAUAAGUAUUUUAUAGAGCCAAUCUGAUUGCACCACUCCACAUUAAUGUGAGCGCGAAAACGAAGAGACAAAUCCUUGUUGUAUGGAAUCACAUAUCUGUUGUCACAUUUGAAACCUUUUUUUUCAACAAAUCUGCCUGGUUGUUCUCGUCUUCUAUAGACAGGAAACCCUUCUUUAUUGACUGUAGUUACAUCUGCAUAAGCUUUAGGAUACAUCUUCGAACAUGAACCAUUUUCCAUGCAUGGCGAAUUCAUGUUAGCAGCUCCACAUGGACCAUGAAUCAUCAUAUCUUUAAUAAUGUCAUAAAGCUCUGGCUCUUUGUCCUUAUCUGGAAUCUCAGCAACGAUAACCUUGUCAAUGUCAUCAGUGGUAGGAAAUUUGGAAUUAGAAUGCAUGAACAACAGAAUAUGUGCAUGUGGUAGACCGCAUUUCUGCCACUCAACGGUGUACAUUGUUGGAAAAAAAAUAUGAGUGAAAAAUCUAUACUUAACAAACAUGUUAAAAGGAUAAAAAAAAAUAGAAUAACACAUAAUUACUCACAUGAGACUGUCUUCCCCAGCAGCUCUUUAUCCGUUAAAUCAAUCAUGAGAGAAUCAAGUUUGAUUUUGAAAAUCCUUCCAAUAAUAUCAGGUCUAUCAUCAGCAAUAAGGUUCCGCUUUUGUAGAUACCUGGUGCUUUCAGGCCAUUUAGGAUUGCAUGUGAAUGUGAUAAACAGAUCAGGAAACCCAAAAUAUUUGCAUAUAGCCAUUGCAUCCAUUUAAUUGUUCUUCAUGUAUCUUGGUCCUCCUGUGAAUGAGGCUGGUAGCAAAAAUCGCUCUCCUUGGUCAUGCAUAUCCUUCUUUCCUGCAUUCCCGGCCUGUUGUAUAGAGUCAUAGCUAUCGGAUCGAAGGCUUUUUUGGUUCAUCCUUAGAUAACAAAGCAUGUUAGACUCGAUGGAGGUAUGAGAAUCAACCAAAAACUGCUGAAACAAACGCUUAGAAUGCAGAAGUGUAUGACACUCAUUCUCCCUUUCCCGUAGACGAAACGCAUACCACUGCCUCAUACUAAUAGUCUGUCUCUUUAGUUUAGCAGUAGCCUCUGUCUCUCUCUUUUUAAUCUCAAGUCUGAAACCAUCUUCACCAUAAGUAAAUAUUAGAGGAUAUUGAAGUGCCAAGUAAGAAGGGUGAAUCUCACUAAUCCUCUUUAGCCAACCAGUUUGUUUCUCUUGCAGCACAAUAUCUAUUUUAUCCAUGUCCAAAUUGAAAUCUCCUGGAAUUAAUGCAGCAACCUCCGAAGCUGUAGGGGUGUCAUAUGUCCUUCCAUCUUUUGCACGACUGCUGAUUAUGCGCAUAUGGAAUGUUUCUUCCGGAUUCGUGUCAAAUCUAUCCUUUGGUGAUCUAAAUUGAUGGACAUAUGGAUUGACCUCGUUUAGCAUCUUCAAUAAAGACUCAAUAACUUGUUUCCGAAUUGUCUCCUUCUUAGAUGUUUCUGAAGCUGUCUUGUACUUUCUGCAAAGACAAUAACACAUUCUGUAAUAUACCAACCUUUUGACAUCAAAUGGAAAUAUUUCAGAUAAAGAGAAACAUUAUACCCAAUUAUAGAAGCACGGUUGGUAACUUCAUUUUCUGUGUCGACAAUAUAGAGCUGUCCAAACUUAGCAGGGUCUCCUGGAGGAGGCUUCAAACUACCCAUCAAAUGAUAGUUCUCUCCUUGAAGUACAAACAUCUUUAGAGGGCCACAUCCUUUUGGAACUGACCGGUCGCAUUUACCACCAAGCGAUGUAAAUGAGAAAACCAUAUUUAACUGGCGAAUGUUCUCUCUGAAGUAUAUGCUUUUUUUAUCAUUGCCAUAAAGUAAUUAUUUCAACAUAGCUGGUGAAUCCUUCAACAGUGGAAGUUGGACUUGUCCUUGACCACAACAAAGAGCAAACUUUGGUUUACAGGUGUUCUUUUUGUUGUUUAUCCUUUCACCAUACCACAUAAUAGCCCCACAAUGCUCACAUUUGAAAGUAGGAUCACCGUCAUCAAUGUAACCUGUUUAUGAAAAAUUCAAAUCAUUAGCUGUAAAUAAAGAAAACAAAAAAAUAUUUUGAUUUGCGCUUUAGAAGCCAUUUUUAAUAUCAAUUAGGUCAUCCCUUGAACUAAGUACCAUAUUGUUUCCGAGAAGAUGUUGCUUUGGUCAUCGGCGUACAUGAAGAAGCUGUCUUUGUAUUAGUUUUUGAUAAGACAUUGGGUGAUCUGUGAUCAGUAUCUGGGUCGCAGCUUAGAGUUUCACAAUCGCUUGUGUCACUCUCUUCGCUACUGCAAUCAUAAACUUGUUCUUUGUCUAAUUCAGACUCUUCUGCUAAUACAUAAAACAGAUCAAAAAAUGGUUAAUCGACUUUUACUUAAAUAGAUAAUGAACAAAACUAAGGUAAACAAUAAAAAGUGUAGACCUUGAUAGUAACAUUGGUAUGCUUGGUCCUCAUCAUCCUCACUUGAAGAAUUAUCAUUUACACAACCUUCGAAUUGAGCUUCCAAUGUUUUCCUGCAACUCUUGGUUGUAGUUUUACUCUUGAACUUGUUAUCUCCAGCAAGUACUUUCCCCUUGCCUUUAGCUGAAAAUUGACUUGUUUAAAAUCAGAAGAAGUAACCAAUUGCAGAAAAGGCUUAAAAGAUUUAAAAUAUUUUGGAUUUAUAGUAUUUAUCCUUAGUAGUUAUCUUUGUAACACACGAACCAUUUGUAGAAGGUGUUCCAAGUUGCAAAGGCAAGGUACUGGCAGUAGGUAGUACAUUGGUAAUAUAAGUUAGAACCCCUGAUUUGGCACAUCGUUUCUUACUGGAAAACGUAUACGGUGUAUGGUCAGUGACAUCUAUGGUUGCUGAUCUCUUUCUCUUUAGAACUGUUGAAUCAUAGUUAGAUCCUCCAACGAUGUUGCUGACAGUAGUUUGAUUGCUUGAUUGCGCUAAUUGAAAAAAAACAUAAUAUUUUUCAUUAUUAACCAUUAGAAACAACGUUUAAAACACGCAUAUAAAGACAUAUGAGAGUAUUCUCUUACACAUCAACUUAUAGGAACUGCUCUUCAAUCUUUUUCCUUGGCCACUCUCAUGUUUCCCAUAAUCUAUAAAGAAAAUUUUUCAAUUUGGUAUUUGAGGUAAAGCACAAAAAUACUAUGAAGUCAACAAAGAUGUUUUGUGGAAGGACUGUUAAACCAUUAGUAGGGGUGGUUCCAAUAUUAACUCUCGGAGACGGCAAAUUAGGAUGAAUAUUGGAGAUAUCAGCUAGAACCCUUGGAAAAACAUUGCUAAGAGGCACAGAAGUUUCAGUGUUGUUGAAAUUAGAACCACACGGCUGUGUGUUCUCUUCAUCACUGGUGUUCGCUGUUCUCUUUCUUUUUCGCUGUUGCGCGGGUAUCAAGCCUUCAGAUCCUGGAGGGACCUCUUUGUGUGUGUUUGACAUUGUAAUUCUCUACAAUGGAGAUUACGGCCAGCACUUUUGAUGAGUAGGUCUUCUAAUUAAUUUAGAACUUAAACACAGAAACAAACUAAACAAAGAUGAUGCAGAGGGACCUCUUUGUUUGUGUUUGACAUUGUAAUUCUCUAUAAUUUAGAUUUCUGUUUUAUUCAUCUACUUCAUUGAUUUCUAUAUAAUUGACAUUAAUGUUCACUUUUAAAUUGCGAUAUAAUUUAUUUUGGCUAUUUUGGUUGCAAAGAUUAAAAACAAUAUACAUUAUAAAAAAUAUACAAUCAAUGGUUAGUUUCAAAUCUUUUUUCAAUCGUUUACUUUAACUAUAACAGCUUUAAUGGUUGUUUUAGACCCCUUUAAUAUUAAAUAUUAUAUAGUCCUCAAGAACAUUGCUAUAGUUAUUAUUUCUCAUGUCGAUAUGUAAUUUAAACUUUUUAUUCAUUCAAGUGUAUAUGAAUUUGAAGUAGAUGACUUUGUGUAGAUUGGCGCGGGUCAAAUAAACACUUAAUAAUGCAUUAGGAUAAAUAGACUGAUUGAAAAGCACAAAUCCAACAUAAGUUUAACCAAAAAAACCCCAACAAUUAAAAAAAGAAAAAAACAAAACCCAAAUGCAUGAAAACAAUUGACAUCAGUCUUCUUCCUUGCUUAGCCACGUUUCUUAGCAGACUCUUCUGCCUUUUCAAUUUUAACAGUCAUUAGGCAUGGUUUCUUUGAUGUUGAACUGCUGUCAGGGUGAGAAAUAGCAUCAUCUUCUUUUCUCUUACUGGAUGGUGUUGACACAGAGUAGUUAAGUUCUUGGCUAUCAGUCAAAUAUAUAGAACCCUGCAUAAAAAAAACAUUGAUAAGCGCGGGUUAAGAAAGAAACUCUCGGGUUAAAAUGCUUGAAAUCACCAUAGAAGACACAGUUUUACCUCAUCAACACUUGUAAUUGUCAAAAUCGUAUCAGAUUGAACUGGUGUGAUUGCACCAGUUAAGUAAUUCAUCCUGUCUUUGUAGAUUUUUCCAACUUUGUAUAUCUCAGCACCAUAAGAUACAUUAUCCUUCUCAACAUAAACUCCAAAUGUGAAAGUUUUUCCAAUCAAAUCAGUAACAACGUCUGGUAUUAAGCUUGUGUCGUCAAGCUGUCAAAAUAAAUUUCGUAUAUUAGUUUUAUUUCGUCAGUAGGAUUGCAUAAAAUAAGCACUAUAAUUGCUUUAUAAUAUUUACCUCAUCCUAGCUUCCAUUCAACAACUUGAGUGGAGAUUCAGAAACAAUCCCAUUAGCUACCUUGUCUAGGAUCAUUAUUUUUGACACACCAGUAUCAUCCUUGACCAUCAAGUGAAGCCAGAACCUGUAGAUUUGACAGACAUCAGUUACAUUUUUAAUUGGUCAACACCACUAUAAUAUUGAAACCAUGUGGUUGUGUUUUUAAAUUUAAAGUCAUACCUUGGUGAAACUUUCAAGACAUAUUCGUUGCAUGCCUCACAAAACCAAAUAUGAGUUGUGAUCUCGUUUCCAUUCACUUUCUUAAUCUUGGUUCCGGUUUUGAUCAGCCUUUUUUGGCAUGCAUCACAACCAAAGUAAUACCAGGACCAAUCCAUAUCAAUUUCAUAGAAUGUGCAAGUCACUAAACAUUUAUCAACCUAAACCAAAAAAAAAAUACAAAUGGUUAAAACCCACUUAUACGAGCUAUACAAUGUAACAUAUGUAAUAUAAAAGACUUAAACUGCUUACUUGAGUUGAUGCUUUCAUUUCAUGGAUGUUCUUAGUAGGGUAUAGCAACCACUUAUCACGCUGUCCUCGCUUAUCUGCCUGAUCUAUUUGCUUGUUGAUGUACUCUUGACUAUCCUCAUUACUUUCAUACGGCAUUAGAGUUUUGUCAUCCCCAAUAUCCCUUACAAAAAGCAUAAGAUUAAAGUUAGUAUGAUAGACAAAUAACUACUGUUAAAGCAACAAUAGAUCAUCCCUUACAUAUCUUUAAAAGGUUCUGCCUCGGGUAUUGUAGGGUUGAUGAUCAUUUGAGAAGCAUCAAAGGAGUUAGAGAUUUGUACUUCUCCUGUUGUGGAUACCAUUUAGUAGAUUAGAUAUAUAACAUUCUAAUGUAUAUAAAUGGUGUUAUUUAUUGAAUGACAUCUAUAGGAGUUCAAAUAUGUACCUCUGAACUUUCCAAUUUUAGCAAACCUUAGAAGCAAAGUAACCAAUCCAUCGUCUUGAUUGCAGGCAGAAUGGAGAAUAUCGGUUAACUUGCCUCACAUACAGCAUGGAAUUCUUGAAUCACUACGCGGCAAGUAUCAAAAAGCGAGGUUAGUUGUGAGUCUGGUAAAAAAAUUGCUUGGAUUGAAUUAGAUGACAGAAAACUUACUUGAUGUCUCUAAGGGUGAAAUUUAGUUUUUUACGCUGGUACCCACCAGCACACUGAAUGGUUUCGACAGCACCACAAUCCAAAACUUGGCCCAGCACAUCUAUUAAUCAAAACAUUUUCAAAGUUAUUAAAUGUAGCACGUACACAAUAUAAUUGUAGAAACUUUCGAUCACGUUUUUACCUAUUAGCAAUUUUUCAUCAGAGUUCCAGAUAGAACGCUUUGAAAAUCGACCAAAUUAAGAGAUAAGUCAUCAUUCAUGAAAUUGGACCGACUAACGACUGUUGCUUGAUUGAAUGAAAUCUUGUAGAUAUGGUUUGUUGUGCGAUAUGCUCCUCCAGCAGGCCUGACUUGGAAGUUUCUGAUGUUGCGCCAUACUCCAACC